rnacentral:rRNA from 1 species
GAUGAACGCUGGCGGCGUGCUUAACACAUGCAAGUCGAACGGUGAAGGCGGAUCUUUCUCUGCUGUAUCAGUGGCGAACGGGUGUGUAACACGUGAGCAAUCUGCCCCUUACUCUGGGAUAAACCCUGGAAACGCCGUUUAAUACUGCAUACGAGCUCCUAAGGCAUCUUCAUCAGCUUUAAAGAAUUUCGUUCAGUGAUGUGGUCGCGGCCCAUCAGCUUGUUGGUGAGGUGAUGGCUCACCAAGGCGUCGACGGGUAGCCGGCCUGGGAGGGUGACCGGCCACAAUGGGACUGGGGAGGCGGCCGGACGCAAACGGGGGGCAGCAGUGAAAGAUAUUGCACGAUGGGCGGAAGCAUGGUGGAGCAGCGCCGGGUGAGGGAAGACGGCCUGUGGGUUGUAACCCUCUUUUGGCAGGGAAGAAGAGAAAGUGACGGUAACUGCAGAAAAAGCGACGGCUAACUACGUG